CUCACAACAGACUUGCGAAUUCCUCGCUCACGGUUUACAGUCUGGAAACCCGUGAGCAAGGCAUCAAGAAGAUGCCGUCAUCCGGUGGCGCCCAGCAAAGCCUUCCAUCCCACCUCCUAGAGCACCGCGUCGUCUCCAGGUCCUUCCCCUUCUCCAUUAACUGUGAAAUACCCAGCGCAGGAGAUGAAGGUAGAGACACCAGUUAGGGGAUGCUUUCCUGCAUCCCUAAGGCAAUAACAUAAUGAAGGAUUCUUAAAAGGAAAACGAACAGCAGAAAGGUUGGUGCCUCUGCUAAAUCCAGCAGACCGGACAGCCCACACAGAGAGCCGUCAGGGCGGGCGCACUUACAGAGACCAAAUGUAAAAUUUUCCACACCAACAGUGAGGC